rfam:Arthrospira platensis NIES-39 DNA, nearly complete genome.
AGGAUCCGUGUGCUGGGAAACUCGCAAGCACGGUUUGGAAUUGGAGUUGGGGAAGGUGACUUCUCUUUCGACCAUAAC